rnacentral:rRNA from 1 species
CCCUUAGAUGUCCUGGGCCGCACGCGUGCUACACUGACGCAUACAGCGAGCACUUUCCAGUUCCGAGAGGCUACUGGCAAUCAUCAAUAUGCGUCGUGAUGGGGAUAGAUCUUUGGAAUUCUGGAUCUUGAACGAGGAAUGCCUAGUAAUCGCAGGUCAUUAGCCUGCGAUGAUUAAGUCCCUGCCCUUUGUACACACCGCCCGUCGCUACUACCGAUUUCGAGUGGUCAGGUGAAUCUUUCGGACUGUGGGCGCCCUUGAGGUGUUCGCGGAAAGUCAGGUAAAUCUUAUCACUUAGAGGAAGUAAAAGUCGUAACA